ACUGUGUCCAGUUAGUCCUGCUACAAGCCCUCACAACACCCAAACUCAAGAAGAAAAAGGAAAGAGAUCUGAGCAGCACUUCAGACAUUACCGCUACUGCUGACGAAGACAAACAUGUCCAGAAAAGCUGUGCUGGGUUUGAUUCUUCUUUGUCUGUUUCUCUUCUUCUUCUUCUCUUCUUUUUCACCAACAUCUUCUAAAGAAACAACAACCAUCAGAGCUAAGGCUGGACAGGAUGUCGUUCUGCCGUGUCACGUUCCAAAAGAUAGAUCCAUCACAGGCGCAGUGUGGACCCACACUGACACGAAAACACAUUAUGUUUUCUUGUACCACAGCAAUAGCUCUGAAAUAAUCAGUCGGCAGAAAGAAGUACUGAACUGGAUAAACAUGCAGAAAGAUAUGACGGAUGACAAAUAUUUGGUUAUCUGGGAAUCCGGGGAGUAACAAACACAAUGGCUGUAAGCCAUUUUGAAGAUUGUCAUCAAGCUGACAAUGAAUCCAAUGGCUGAAUCAACAGAUGAUGGAUUGAGAGUGUGUGCUCCACAUGCUUUGUUUCAGCCACUUGCUUUUACUCUUGGUGUCAUUGCAGAUGUUUUGAGAUGGAAGGCUUUCCAUGGAGCUGGCUUAGUGUGACUCCAUGCAUGGCCUGCCUGCGUACAUUCUUGGUGACUUCUUGGUAAAUCUUUUUGAACGUCUUCAGUGUCGUAGUAGUGCUGGGUGGUAUACCACUUGUAACUUUAUUUGUGAUGUUAAAAUUUCAACAUAGUAUUGAAUUGACAAAAAGACCACCAUUGAUGAUAAAAUGGUUGACGAGUAUGUUUAAAUUAACUGCAAAGAACCCAAAUGGAUGUUUUGUGCUUUUUCAUAUCUCAAAUACUUUUUAACAUAUUGUGUUGAAAAGUGGUCCAACCCAUUUUUCUCAUACAUUGAAAUCUGAGGCAAUGUCUGAACAUGAAUAUUUCAAAGACUAUUUAGAAUAAAAGCCUAAGUUUUCACUGGUCUUUCUUACCAUCAAAGUAAAUGAGAAUCUGUCAUGUGGAACAUAUACAUCAACUCAUUUUCUAAGUACUAUAAU